CUCACCGUCAGGUCCUGCCGCAGGGAUUUCAGCUGCUCGCAGGCCCAGGCGUAGUCGCGGUGCUGCUGCCAGUGCGAGCGCACCAGGGCCAGCGCCUGCCGCAGCACCUGCGGAUUUUGGGGCGUUUUGGGGCGUUUUGGGCCUUUUCGGAGCAUUUCGGGGGUUUCAAGGAGGAUUUUGGGGGUUUUGGGGUGGAUUUUGGGGGCUUUGGGGUGGAUUUUGGGGGUUUUGGGGUGGAUUUUGGGGGAUUUUUCUGUGGAUUUUGGGGGGUUUUUAUGUGGAUUUUGGGGGGUUCCGUGGCAGAUUUUGGGGUUUUUGGGGUGAUGUUUUUGGGGUGGAUUUUGGGGUGAAUUUCGGUGGUUUUGGGGUCACUCACCGGCACGGGUCUCACAGUACUGGGAUCAGGAUUAUUUCGUCAUAUUUUUGGUGGAUUUUGGGGUAUUUUGGGACGUUUUGGACACUCACCGGCACGGGUCACAUGGUACUGGGAUCAGGGAUAUUUUGGGGGUGGAUAUCAGAGUUUUUGGGAUAUUUUGGGAUGGAUUUUGGGAUAUUUUGGGACAUUUUGGCUCGCUCACCGGCACGGGUCUGACGGUGCUGGGAUCGGGGUUAUUUUUGGGUGGAUUUUGGGGUGGAUUUUGGGAUAUUUUGGCACGUUUUGGCUCGCUCACCGGCACGGGUCUGACGGUGCUGGGAUCGGGGUUA
rnacentral:lncRNA from 1 species